AGUGAACGCUGGCGGUAGGCCUAACACAUGCAAGUCGAACGGCAGCACAGGAGAGCUUGCUCUCUGGGUGGCGAGUGGCGGACGGGUGAGGAAUACGUCGGAAUCUGCCCAGUCGUGGGGGAUAACGUAGGGAAACUUACGCUAAUACCGCAUACGACCUUCGGGUGAAAGAGGGGGAUCGCAAGACCUCUCGCGAUUGGAUGAGCCGAUGUCGGAUUGGCUAGUUGGCGGGGUAAUGGCCCACCAAGGCGACGAUCCGUAGCUGGUCUGAGAGGAUGAUCAGCCACACUGGAACUGAGACACGGUCCAGACUCCUACGGGAGGCAGCAGUGGGGAAUAUUGGACAAUGGGCGCAAGCCUGAUCCAGCCAUACCGCGUGGGAGAAGAAGGCCUUCGGGUUGUAAAGCCCUUUUGUUGGGAAAGAAAUCUUUCAGGCUAAUACCCUGGGAGGAUGACGGUACCCAAAGAAUAAGCACCGGCUAACUUCGUG
rnacentral:rRNA from 1 species